GGAGGCAACACAAGCACCACUGAACAAACAAGUACCUGUGUACACUGCUGUGCUCACCUGAGCCUCACACAGGUGAGGGGACGCUGCCCUCACCCUCUCUUGUUCGUUCUGCAGAUCGAACACCUCUAACACGCUCUUGCUGCCUGAGAGUGGAGGAUGGACACCCAAAAGAAGCAACACGAUUUUUUGUGCAAGACACCUUGAAGACACUGAGAAGCCUCAGACUCUUGAAAUGGAGGAAAUAACGGUGGAAACAAUCCUGGCCCCGUGGCAAAUCCUGCUGGUGAUCCUCGCCGCAGUGCUGACCAUGAGUCUCCUCAUGCUCCUGCCCCCCGCAGCCGUGGUGCUCUGGAGGAUGAAGCGUGUGCCGCAGAUCUCCCUGCAGGGCUCGGUGUGAGCCAGCCCUGCAAACUGCUGCCACACCACCCAUCCCUGCAGAGGAUGGUUCGGAAGGAUCACAUCUCUCAGGAUCACUCUUUCUGCCUAAGAUCCACCCAAAAGCAGCGGGUUACCAGUCUAUUGCUGCUUAGUUCCUGUGAGUAGAGGAUGUGUGUAAUUUUGUCGUCGUGAACUACAGUUCUGAGCACUUUGCCUUUCAUUUUUUGGCUAAUUUUAAUUACUGUUAUUGGCUCAGUUCUUAGACUGAGUUCUCCUCUUGUGUUAUAAUGGCCUGAAAGAGAAGAAGCAUAACGCAGCAUUGUAUUUCCUUAAUUAAUAUCAGGAAAGCCUCCCUGUUUAUAGUUACACUGUAAAUAUUACCAAAGCCUUCUAGCUGAGAUGAGUGACAGUUAUGCAAGUGAACUUAUCAAAAGCAUGCAGGAUACUCUAGGGAGGUAGUACUUUAGUCUGGUUGUAUUGCAGAACCUAAAAAAUAAAUAAUCAGAGAAUGGUGCAAUAAA